GGUGGGGUAACGGCUCACCUAGGCGACGAUCCCUAGCUGGUCUGAGAGGAUGACCAGCCACACUGGAACUGAGACACGGUCCAGACUCCUACGGGAGGCAGCAGUGGGGAAUAUUGCACAAUGGGCGAAAGCCUGAUGCAGCCAUGCCGCGUGUAUGAAGAAGGCCUUCGGGUUGUAAAGUACUUUCAGCGGGGAGGAAGGGAGUAAAGUUAAUACCUUUGCUCAUUGACGUUACCCGCAGAAGAAGCACCGGCU
rnacentral:rRNA from 1 species